CCUACGGGAGGCAGCAGUGAGGAAUAUUGGUCAAUGGGCGCGAGCCUGAACCAGCCAAGUCGCGUGAGGGAUGACGGCCCUACGGGUUGUAAACCUCUUUUGCCGGGGAGCAACGGGCGCCACGUGUGGCGCCACUGAGAGUACCCGGAGAAAAAGCAUCGGCUAACUCCGUGCCAGCAGCCGCGGUAAUACGGAGGAUGCGAGCGUUAUCCGGAUUUAUUGGGUUUAAAGGGUGCGUAGGCGGCCUUUUAAGUCAGCGGUGAAAGUCUGUGGCUCAACCAUAGAAUUGCCGUUGAAACUGGGAGGCUUGAGUAUGUUUGAGGCAGGCGGAAUGCGUGGUGUAGCGGUGAAAUGCUUAGAUAUCACGCAGAACCCCGAUUGCGAAGGCAGCCUGCCAAGCCAUGACUGACGCUGAUGCACGAAAGCGUGGGGAUCAAACAGGAUUAGAUACCCCUGUAGUC
rnacentral:rRNA from 1 species